GCCGGGGUGCCUCAGCCAGGUAGAGGGUCGGCCUCGAGAGCCGAUGCCCCAGACGGGGCUCGUGGGUUCAAAUCCCACCCCCGGCG
rnacentral:tRNA from 1 species